rnacentral:pre_miRNA from 1 species
UGAUUGUCCAAACGCAAUUCUUGUACAAAUAUAAUAUCAAGAAAUGUGUAGGGGCAUCGUU